rnacentral:rRNA from 1 species
GACGAACGCUGGCGGCGUGCUUAACACAUGCAAGUCGAACGGAAAGGCCCUGCUUUUGUGGGGUGCUCGAGUGGCGAACGGGUGAGUAACACGUGAGUAACCUGCCCUUGACUUUGGGAUAACUUCAGGAAACUGGGGCUAAUACCGGAUAGGAGCUCCUGCUGCAUGGUGGGGGUUGGAAAGUUUCGGCGGUUGGGGAUGGACUCGCGGCUUAUCAGCUUGUUGGUGGGGUAGUGGCUUACCAAGGCUUUGACGGGUAGCCGGCCUGAGAGGGUGACCGGCCACCUUGGGACUGAGGUGCGGCCGAGACUCCUACGGGGGGCAGCAGUGGGGAAUAUUGCACAAUGGGCGGAAGCCUGCUGCAGCAACGCCGCGUGCGGGAUGACGGCCUUCGGGUUGUAAACCGCUUUCGCCUGUGACGAAGCGUGAGUGACGGUAAUGGGUAAAGAAGCACCGGCUAACUACGUG